GAUGUUGCAUUUAGCAACCAAUCAACACAGCGUUGGUAAAAGAGGCCUGCUGGCGUGAAUAUCUUAAAGACAAGAAUGAACAACCUAUUUUGAGCGACGAAGACAAGGUCUUUUUCAAGACUGAAUAUGAACUACCAAAGUACGGUUUUAACGACCCGCCGACCGGAUUGCGAACAAGGAAAGAUGUCCGCGUGCUGACCGAUCAACAGCGGAAGGAUGUCUUUGAGGCCUUCAACACCCUUUAUCAGAACGGAAUACUGCGCAGAUUUGGUUUGUUGCACGGAACUGAAUUACAUCGAAAACACAGAGGAAGAGCAUUUUUACCUUGGCAUCGUGUCUUUUUAGCUGCGUAUGUAUGAGUUGCAUGAAAGUAAAUCAUUGAGUAAUGA